rnacentral:rRNA from 1 species
UACGGAGGGUGCGAGCGUUGUCCGGAAUCACUGGGCGUAAAGGGCGCGUAGGCGGCCUGAUAAGUAGGGGGUGAAAUCUUGCGGCUUAACCGCAAGGCUGCCUUCUAAACUGUCGGGCUAGAGCACAGUAGAGGCAGGUGGAAUUCCCGGUGUAGCGGUGGAAUGCGUAGAGAUCGGGAGGAAUACCUGUGGCGAAGGCGGCCUACUGGGCCGGACCUGACGCUGAGACGCGAAGGCGUGGGGAGCGAACGGG